rnacentral:rRNA from 1 species
GAUGUGAAAUCCCUGAGCUUAACUUAGGAAUUGCAUUCGAUACUGGGAAGCUAGAGUAUGGGAGAGGAUGGUAGAAUUCCAGGUGUAGCGGUGAAAUGCGUAGAGAUCUGGAGGAAUACCGAUGGCGAAGGCAGCCAUCUGGCCUAAUACUGACGCUGAGGUACGAAAGCAUGGGGAGCAAACAGGAUUAGAUACCCUGGUAGUCCAUGCCGUAAACGAUGUCUACUAGCCGUUGGGGCCUUUGAGGCUUUAGUGGCGCAGCUAACGCGAUAAGUAGACCGCCUGGGGAGUACGGUCGCAAGACUAAAACUCAAAUGAAUUGACGGGGGCCCGCACAAGCGGUGGAGCAUGUGGUUUAAUUCGAUGCAACGCGAAGAACCUUACCUGGUCUUGACAUAGUAAGAACUUUCCAGAGAUGGAUUGGUGCCUUCGGGAACUUACAUACAGGUGCUGCAUGGCUGUCGUCAGCUCGUGUCGUGAGAUGUUGGGUUAAGUCCCGCAACGAGCGCAACCCUUUUCCUUAUUUGCCAGCGGGUUAAGCCGGGAACUUUAAGGAUACUGCCAGUGACAAACUGGAGGAAGGCGGGGACGACGUCAAGUCAUCAUGGCCCUUACGACCAGGGCUACACACGUGCUACAAUGGUCGGUACAAAGGGUUGCUACCUAGCGAUAGGAUGCUAAUCUCAAAAAGCCGAUCGUAGUCCGGAUUGGAGUCUGCAACUCGACUCCAUGAAGUCGG